rnacentral:tRNA from 1 species
AUAGCAUAUGGCGGUUUGUAGUUUAAUUGGCAAAGACAUA